CAAAGGCUUGCUGCCUUGGGAGCGGGGAAUGUCCUAUCAGGUUGUUGGUGAGGUAAAGGCUCACCAAGCCAAAGACGGGUAGCGGGUGUGAGAGCACGACCCGCCGCAUCGGGACUGAGACACUGCCCGGACUCCUACGGGAGGCUGCAGUAACGAAUCUUCCGCAAUGCACGAAAGUGUGACGGGGCAAUGCCGCGUGUGGGAUGAAGGCCUUCGGGUUGUAAACCACUGUCAGGGUUCAGGAAACAAAUGACCAGACCCAAAGGAAGGGCCGGCUAACUCUGUGCCAGCAGCCGCGGUAAUACAGAGGGCCCGAGCGUUAAUCGGAAUCACUGGGCUUAAAGCGUACGUAGGCGGACUUGUAGGCAUCUUGUGAAAUCCCUCGGCUCAACCGGGGAAUUGCAGGGUGAACCACAAGUCUUGAGGCGAGUAGAGGCGGUCGGAACGAUAGGUGGAGCGGUGAAAUGCGUAGAUAUCUAUCGGAACGCCAAAGGUGAAGACAGGCCGCUGGGCUCGUCCUGACGCUGAGGUACGAAAGCGUGGGUAGCGAACGGGAUUAGAUACCCCGGUAGUCCACGCCGUAAACGAUGCGCACUAGGUCGGGGAGGUUUGACGCCCUCCCGGCCGAAGCAAAAGUGUUUAGUGCGCCGCCUGGGGAGUA
rnacentral:rRNA from 1 species